GUCUACGUGGUGUAGUAGUCAGCGCGCUCGACGCGUAUUCCAGAGGUCUGGGGUUCAAGUCCCGGCGAGGGCA
rnacentral:tRNA from 1 species